UAGAAAAUUAAUCACUUAAAGGAUCCUAACAUUUUCAAUGUGGGGAAACAGGCUUGUAUGUGUUCAUCGACUAACUUAAGUAAUAGUUUAUGAGUAAUCAUUAGAGUUCCAUUCAAGUUUUGUUAUAGUUUUUCAUGUUUGUUCAGCAGGGAAAAGUCCAUUCAAAGCUCAGAGGCAGCUAGCAGCAUGGCGGUAGAUGAAAACUGUCUUGAGGAUGUUGGGUGAUUCUCUCCUCUGAGAUGCCUUUGAGUUUUGAGCCUGUCAAACACUGGAAGCCUGAGCCAUAGACUUCUGAUCAGAGUUGCCUGAGCCAGAGAGACUGCUGACCAGAGAUGUCUGAGCUCCAAGGACUUGCUUCAAAGUGACUUUAUGCUCUCCAGUCCCUGGGGUAGUGGUGACAUCCACAUGAACAGAGAUCUGGCCUACAGAAUCUUUGGAGGAACGACCUGCAAACAGAAGAAAUGAACUAGCUUGGAUGUUCAGAUUAUAUGCCUGUGAACAUCUAUAUUCUUUGUGUAAGGAUUAAAUGGUUACUUCUGUUAACAUCA